GCAGACUUAGCUCAAUGGUAAAGCACCUUGCAUGUAUUCAAGGUUUUUCAGGUUUGAGUCCUGUAGUCCACA
rfam:Puccinia sorghi strain RO10H11247 Scaffold_4479, whole genome shotgun sequence.